CAGUCGCCGCGGUAAUACGUAGGGUGCGAGCGUUAAUCGGAAUUACUGGGCGUAAAGCGUGCGCAGGCGGUUGUGUAAGACAGGUGUGAAAUCCCCGGGCUUAACCUGGGAACUGCGCUUGUGACUGCACAGCUAGAGUAUAGCAGAGGGGGGUGGAAUUCCACGUGUAGCAGUGAAAUGCGUAGAGAUGUGGAGGAACACCGAUGGCGAAGGCAGCCCCCUGGGCCAAUACUGACGCUCAUGCACGAAAGCGUGGGGAGCAAACAGGAUUAGAUACCCGAGUAGUCCCUGUCUCUUAUAC
rnacentral:rRNA from 1 species